rnacentral:rRNA from 1 species
GACGAACGCUGGCGGCAUGCCUAAUACAUGCAAGUCGAGCGAACAGACGAAGUGCUUGCACUUCUGACGUUAGCGGCGAACGGGUGAGUAACACGUAAGGAAUCUACCUAUAAGCGGGGGAUAACAUUCGGAAACGGGUGCUAAUACCGCAUAAUAUCUUCUUCCGCAUGGAAGAAGAUUGAAAGACGGCUCUGCUGUCACUUAUAGAUGACCUUGCGGUGCAUUAGUUAGUUGGUGGGGUAACGGCCUACCAAGACGAUGAUGCAUAGCCGACCUGAGAGGGUGAUCGGCCACAUUGGGACUGAGACACGGCCCAAACUCCUACGGGAGGCAGCAGUAGGGAAUCUUCCGCAAUGGGCGAAAGCCUGACGGAGCAAUGCCGCGAGUGAAGAAGGCCUUCGGGUCGCAAAACUCUGUUAUAAGAGAAGAACAAAUUGUAGAGUAACUGCUACAGUCUUGACGGUAUCUUAUCAGAAAGCCACGGCUAACUACGUGCCAGCCGCCGCAGUAA